CUAAAAUUCCUUCCCUUGAACGUUGUCCUCGAUCAGCUCUAGUCCUUGGGCUAAGACCUUUUAUGAACCAGGUGACAGAGGGUAAUGGAGAAAGGUUUUCUCAAGAGAAACUCUGGGAAGCCACUGACGAUCAGAAAGUGCGCAGAGUGGCCGGGGUCAUUGGGGUCAUUACGGUCGUUAUUGGCAGUAAUGACGUUCGCUGGUUCCACGUGAUGAGAGCUUCCUGCUUUCCAGUGUGUGCGGCAAAACUCAGAUUAAGAUUUUGGUGCUGGUGUCCUACUGAAUUUUAAAAGCUCAUCAAAAUUCCCAAGACCGGGUGCAACCUUUUCUAGCAUGGCUCUAACCUGCAUCUAAGCAUCAGUCAAGCCCGUUGCAUACGCAGCUCAGCUUCAGGCCUUGGGGAGCAUUUUUCUAAUGGAUUUCAAGGUCCCAGUGUGCCUUCACCAGGACAUACUGCUCCACUCCUGCAUGCCGCCCCUAGGUAUUUACUGAUCUUCUUAAGUCAUUCUCUAGUUUUUCACUCCCUCCGUCAGCACCGUGGUGAUCUUCACGUACUGUUUGUGCCUGGAACCUGGCGCAGGAAUCUGCCAUUCACAUUCAGAAGGGCUCUCCGGUUCUUCCUCAACAAUAUCUUCUUGGAUGCCUUUUAUUUCAAGAUAAAGAAACUAAGGCUCACGGGGGUUAACAAGUUGCUCAAAUGCAAUCACCAGCGACUAGUGAGUGCAGAACUGAACACUGAAUUCAUGUCUCUCUGACUCAAAAGUUGCACUUUCCACUCUCUGUGCUCCUGCAGAUGGGCAGCCAUUGCUUCAUGCAAUACAUCCCCUUUUCAUCUGUAGAAUGGGAAGAAUCACUGUGUAUUUUCUUAAUUUUUCUCUAAAGUGGAGAUUGUGCUUGAAAAUCUCUAAAGCAUUGUAUAUUAGCUUUGUUAUAAAUACCACUUGGCUGGUGCCUUGAAAUCCAGACCCAUUCAUUCAAGCUGCACAAAACACCACAAAGCCAGAAAGAAGCCUCACCUACUAAGACCUGUAAAUCUCUCUUUCAAAUGGUAAACAGCUUGUUGGAAUACUGCUUACCUCUGACUUGAUGGCCCAUAAACUGAGACAACUGUGCCCUCCAUUGUACAGUACUUUAAAUGUAUCUUGAAGUCUUAACAAAAGUGUAUUUAGGAUGCAUCUAAUGUACAA